GGCCAAGUUUUUAAGGGCGCACGGUGGAUGCCUUGGCACCAGGAACCGAUGAAGGACGUGGGAGGCCACGAUAGUCCCCGGGGAGUCGUCAACCAGGCUUUGAUCCGGGGGUUUCCGAAUGGGGAAACCCGGCAGUCGUCAUGGGCUGUCACCCGCUGCUGAACACAUAGGCAGUGUGGAGGGAACGCGGGGAAGUGAAACAUCUCAGUACCCGCAGGAAGAGAAAACAACCGU
rfam:Streptomyces afghaniensis 772 genomic scaffold STAFG_scaffold768, whole genome shotgun sequence.